GCCUGGUUGGCUCAGUGGUUGAGCUCUUGCCUUCGGCCCAGGGCAUGAUCCUGGAGUCACGGGAUCAAGUCCCACAUCGGGCU
rnacentral:tRNA from 1 species